rnacentral:rRNA from 1 species
AGCGAACGCUGGCGGCAGGCCUAACACAUGCAAGUCGAACGAACCCUUCGGGGUUAGUGGCGGACAGGUGAGUAACACGUGGGGACGUGCCUUUAGGUUCGGAAUAACUCAGGGAAACUUGUGCUAAUACCGAAUGUGCCCUUCGGGGGAAAGAUUUAUCGCCUUUAGAGCGGCCCGCGUCUGAUUAGCUAGUUGGUGAGGUAAUGGCUCACCAAGGCUACGAUCAGUAGCUGGUCUGAGAGGAUGACCAGCCACAUUGGGACUGAGACACGGCCCAAACUCCUACGGGAGGCAGCAGUGGGGAAUCUUGCGCAAUGGGCGAAAGCCUGACGCAGCCAUGCCGCGUGGAUGAUGAAGGUCUUAGGAUUGUAAAAUCCUUUCACCGGUGAAGAUAAUGACUGUAGCCGGAGAAGAAGCCCCGGCUAACUUCGUGCCAGCAGCCGCCGUAAAAC